UCGAGGAUCUUCGGCAAUGGGCGCAAGCCUGACCGAGCGACGCCGCGUGGAUGAUGAAGGCCUUCGGGUUGUAAAAUCCUGUCGAGGGGGAUAAAGGCGCAAGCUUGAUAUAUCCCUGGAGGAAGCACGGGCUAAGUUCGUGCCAGCAGCCGCGGUAAGACGAACCGUGCAAACGUUGUUCGGAAUCACUGGGCUUAAAGGGCGCGUAGGCGGCUUGCCAAGUCGGUGGUGAAAUCCUGCAGCUUAACUGUAGAAGUGCCUCCGAUACUGGCAAGCUCGAGGGAGGUAGGGGUCUGUGGAACUUCUGGUGGAGCGGUGAAAUGCGUUGAUAUCAGAAGGAACGCCGGUGGCGAAAGCGACGGACUGGAUCUCAUCUGACGCUGAGGCGCGAAAGCCAGGGGAGCAAACGG
rnacentral:rRNA from 1 species